rnacentral:rRNA from 1 species
AGGUUAACCGAAUAGGGGAGCCGAAGGGAAACCGAGUCUUAACUGGGCGUUAAGUUGCAGGGUAUAGACCCGAAACCCGGUGAUCUAGCCAUGGGCAGGUUGAAGGUUGGGUAACACUAACUGGAGGACCGAACCGACUAAUGUUGAAAAAUUAGCGGAUGACUUGUGGCUGGGGGUGAAAGGCCAAUCAAACCGGGAGAUAGCUGGUUCUCCCCGAAAGCUAUUUAGGUAGCGCCUCGUGAAUUCAUCUCCGGGGGUAGAGCACUGUUUCGGCAAGGGGGUCAUCCCGACUUACCAACCCGAUGCAAACUGCGAAUACCGGAGAAUGUUAUCACGGGAGACACACGGCGGGUGCUAACGUCCGUCGUGAAGAGGGAAACAACCCAGACCGCCAGCUAAGGUCCCAAAGUCAUGGUUAAGUGGGAAACGAUGUGGGAAGGCCCAGACAGCCAGGAUGUUGGCUUAGAAGCAGCCAUCAUUUAAAGAAAGCGUAAUAGCUCACUGGUCGAGUCGGCCUGCGCGGAAGAUGUAACGGGGCUAAACCAUG